rnacentral:tRNA from 1 species
UUACUAGUAAGUUAAAUAUUAAACUUGCAAAUUGUGGUUUUGUUAAUUACUUUUAGUACUAGUAAA